rnacentral:pre_miRNA from 1 species
AAACUUUCAUGGAAAAAACAGCGCGAACACAAGGACGAAGAAAAAGGCACACACACCACACCACGGAUCUUCGUCCUUGUGUUCGCGCUGUUUUUUCCAUGAUGCUUG